AUGGUCGAAGACAUCCCGAUGAAGCAGCACUUGUUUGUCCCUUCUUUCAUUGGUGGCGGGAGAAAGAGGAUCCACCCACUCCCUUAUGCUGAUUUGAGCCUUCCUUGUGAGUUGGCUCCAUUUUUGUCCUUUUAUAUGUGGGUGUACAUACCCGAGUACCGAGGAGGGACCGACGAUGGUCAGCUUGUGCAUACUGGCAUUGUGGUGCUUGACCAAGAGGGCACCCACAUGUAUGGCCAGAUUCCUGCUGACAGCUCAGGCACGGCGGUGCCCAUUCUUGCCUCUUUCCCUACGGGAUCAGCUACACUUGUCGUGCUGCCUCUUGAUGAGGUCGGUCAAGAAACUGAGCUUAUAGCUACUGAAGGUCCAAAGAACAACCUUCCUGACCACACUAAAGUCAAGAGGGUGUCUUCUAUGUUCUGCUUGCUGAAGAGAGCUUCUCAGCUCUGCUGCGUCACAGCAACGGUCUGGCCAUCGGGUCUGAAGAUCGUCAACUCUACACAAUUUUGGGCGUGCACCAGGCUUGCUAAUCUAAAAGUCCUUUACUGGUUCACCUUGCAUGAUAAGCAUGAUGUCUGUGCCUGUCGGUUCACUAUUCCAGCAGAUCAUUCGAGUCAAAGGCUUGGCUGCCCACUGUUCUUGAUGCACGCUACAUUUAUACCUUCUGACAGACCUUUGGGUCUAUCACCUGAAACCAUCCUCAUGGAAUUGGUUGAACUGUCCACCACAUGUUUGGCUGAAGCAAUGUUUGAGAAGCUUGGGCUCCCUAAACUAAUCUACCAUGUGCAUUGGCUUCAACAAGGUGGAUGUAAAGCAGAAAUUGAAUUCCAUUGUACGAAAGAACGUUUCCAUGCUUCAGCAUGCUGGGCUAAACUGAAAACUCAUGUAUGUGAGGAUGAGGAGACAUCAAUGAAUCUUGCAGCCGAUCUGGCCAUUGAAUACAUGGAAAACAAAGAGAAAAAAGUACUUGUUGAUUACAAUUAUUACCAACUAGAGCAAAAUAAAAAGACAUGUGCAAGAGUAUCAGACAAGCUGCUAGAAAAAUCAGAGGAGAUCAACCAACGCAGCAACAAAAUCAAACAGAUAACUAAAGAGGCAUGCAACUAUGUGGAUGAAGUGCGAGUUGCGUCAAAUAAAAUCCAUGGUCUUACUGGUGUUGCCUUGGACCCAACUAACUCAAUGUCGGUCUCUAAUCUGAGACAGGCUCUCCUGGAGAUUCAUGAUGCAGUAAUUGCACUGCAAAACACUACAACCACAACAUCUCAGUUCCUGGAGGAAGAAGGCAUGUACUCUGAUGAGGACGUGGCUGAUCCAGUAUACACUGGGCAUUCUAAUGAAGAUUCUGCUGAAGAUUGCCAUCCAGACAUGAACGACGACUACGCUCAUUAUAUGAGAUCUCCAUGA
rnacentral:rRNA from 1 species